CCCUUUCUUUCCCUCUGUGCCCUGGUUUCUUGUUAUGUGCUAUGGAACGUCCACCUCCUCUCCGCCCUGAAUCUUGUAAGGCUCACAAGAGGAAAAUUCCUCAUCAAGCCCCACAGUUUGUGCAAUGCAGUGAUAGAAGGCUUUGAGCAUUUUCAGUGACUGGAAUAAAUCCGAGAAAAGUUAUGCACAGACAGAAGACUUUUUGAAGAUUUCAAAGACGAGAAAAGGAAGUUUGUAAGCGCAUAAAAACAUUUCUGGUGAUGCUUUGGAACAUUCCAUGAGGUCCGCUCUCCAAGCAGACUGAUUCCCAGGACUGGGCUAGACAGAUCCGAAAGAAGAGGCUCAUGUCCUUUCCCUGUGUCUAAAAUCUUUCCCCUGUU